GUAAGUGCACUUCGACACUGAACUGAUAAUUUUUUAUACAAAAAGAAAAGCCAUAUUUUUUUUCACAAAGAGGCCGUAAGAACAUUCCAGCACCGGAAAUUGAUUUGAGAAAAAUCUAAACGUGAACAAAAUCGAUUGAUGUCAAUAUUACAUUUUAUAAAGGCAUCAGGGCCCAUGCAUGAGUAUAAGAUUGACAAUACAGUACAUCUGGGAGGUAGCACACGCAGGGACGUCACUGAUGUCCCGUGCGUGCGCCCUUACGAUUGGAGGAAUGGGGGAGCGGUGCAUCGAGGAGGAGGACGACGCGCACAUGUUUGGACUCAUUGCCUGCCUCAGUGAUGUCCCACCUUGGACGGCAAAAGGCUGAGUGGCAGCAUGACGUGCUGAUUACAGCCAGACCAGGAAGAAGACGGCGGGGAAGAAACAAAGCGGGAUCCCGGGACACCGGGGGGAGCGAUUGCAGGAAUCUGAUAGAAAGGACAGUAGAGAGCUAAGAAGAUGCUUGUUCACCCACAUUUCAUGGAGUUUGUCCCACCCUGUUCUUCAGCUGGAACGAAGAGGAUGCUGCAGCAGGACACGAUUAUAUUCUGGAUGCUCCUAUGUGGACAAUGUGGCCCAUAUUUAUCAUUGUAGUGAGCCAAAAGACAGACCAGAGAAGAAGACUGCAGCAGAGCGGCAGAGGGCAGCCCCAUCUUGACUCUUGGGACCCCCAAGAUUACACUGAGGAAUCCAACUGUAAAUUCCAGGAGCUGUGGUACUAUCCUUAGAGGCAUCACUGUACUAUAGCUCGCAAAUGCUUUAGAAACAUCAUUCUUUUCCUUGCAAAUUCUGAACAAAUGGAUUUUCCAGCUCCCUGAGGAGCAUCCACUGCUUUCCUGAGGAGAGUUCAGGGAGGCGCUUCCUAUAUUUGGCAAGAAGAGGAACCAUUAACAGAUGAGAAAACAUAUCUCACCCAUCUAAUCUGCUCGCCAUCAGUUUGCCUAUUUGUGCAGAAAGCAGCAAUUUCUUCUAUAAGCAAUGCAAAGAAAACUGUUAAAACCCAACAUACUAGCUCUGGCCUUUCUUUUCUUUUAUUAUUGGCUUCCCAAGACUUACUUGGCAUAACAUUUUGUUAUGAUUAUUAUCUGUGCCAGGUGGGGGAGCACAGAUCAGUGUUCUCUGAAGUGGCAACGUGCGGUGCAAAUGGCCAAAUCACCAGCAACUGGUCGUAACAGCAUUAUUUAUACACAUGUUCCCCAUGGAGUCCAUUGGUGCAUUAACUAAGCCAGGAGGCUAGCCCACCCUAGUGGCUUUCAAGAAGCAACUGCAUAAAAAAAUGUGUACUGAAAAGCAUCCUCUGAUUUUCCAGUUUGUAAAGAAAAGUCCAUCUUUGUCUCAAUGAAAAAUACAGUAAA